UAGCGAUAUUAUUGAGAUAUGUGUAAUUUUGUGUAUUACACUGGAUUAGCCGCGUAGUAAUGACACACAUAUAUGAGUAUGAGUGUGUGAAGUAUGUGCGUGCGCAGCGACUCGUAAAACACAAGAAUGCAAUGUUUCCUACGUUGGUGGCAAAAAAGAUGGCGUGAGAAAAAGAGUGCUGAGACGCGUACAAUGUUUAUCUAUGAGUAUCUGGUAAAUCACAUAUUAUAUAAAUAUGAAACUAUUUUAAUAUCAUUUCUACAUAUAAUAUAUUAUGGCCGAAUGGCAAAUUCGUGUCAGAGGAGAAACUUAACCUUUUACACUCGAGGACAUUUUUGGUCGAGCGUAGCAGCUACUUUUGAUGAUUUAGCGUGUACGUGACGCGCGUCUCACAGCUAGCUCUAGCAUAAACAGGAACUGUCGCCUCUCGCUCGCCACUGGAGUUGCAGCACGGAACACCGCUUUUCAAGUGCAAAGGGUCAAAAAUUUGCGGGAAACGAUGCAUCUCGUUCCAGCAGAUUGUCUACAUUUCUACGAUAAUUUCAAUUAGCGACAGUAGAAUUGUUAGAGUCGCAAAUGGCUUCAACGUAGAACGCCUUGAUUUUGAUGCGGAUAUAACUGAAUUUCCUGAAUAGUAUCAAUCCGUAAAAAGGAAGCUGGAGCAUGUGCAAUUGAUGAGUUAUUUUGCUCCUGAAAUUUGAUAUUGUAAGAUUGAUAAAUCGCUAGCAAAAUUGUGAGAUGCGAAGAAAUAUAUAAAAUCAGUUGUCAGUUCCGAGGCCUUCGAGUCCUCAGUUCUAAGAAAAUAUUUUCAAAAAAGAAGCAGCGACUGAUAAAUUUUAUCAAUAUAGGUAAGACGCCACUAAAAUAUAUGUAGUUAUCACGUUAUACAUAUAGGAAAUCAUUAUACAUACGCGAUAGCUUCAUAAAUAAUGAUCGAAAAUACAUGAUAAAUAUUUAAAACGAGCACAGAGUAUUUUGAAAAAUCAAAUUAGUAAGAGAUUCGGCGGAUAAAAUUAAUUUUACGAAUUUAUGUUAUAUAAUUCGUAGAUGCUUUGGUGGAUAAAAUUAACGUUAAGAAUUUAUGUUAUAAUAUUUAAUAUAAAUUUCUACAUAUAUUACAUAUAGCAUAUUUCUAAUAUAAAUCUGUGUUUGUACACUGAUCCCUCAACUGGUACACUCAAUCGCAUUACGUUUAAUGACAUUACUAGCAAGUCAUUGUACGUGUACGUAUUUUUUCUUUUGUACCGACAAACUUUAUUCGCAUUUUCACUUUCAUUCGCGUAAAUUGAAGGACGGGUGUGUAUAUCCCGGUUGAGAUGAAUUAUUCUUCUCUACAAUAUUGACGUUUAGCAUUAAUAGCAAUAAAACAUUAGUGUAACACACACAGCCAUGUCAUAUUGAUACCGUCUAUAUCUCGAUGUUUCCCAAAUGUGCACCAUAGACAAUUGAUCAUUCCAAAAAAUAUCUGCAAAAAUUUCAUUCGAAAAAUACAUUAAUGUACGCGUGCUUGAAUUACGAGACUCUUUUUGCAAGGAGACUGGUCAUACCGUUGUAGAAAAAUAGCAGCUGGAAAACAGAAUAACAAUACUCAACAUUUCUACGCAUUCACAAUGUCGAAGAGAAACUGGUACUGUUGUCGAUAACAUGCUCCUCUCGUUCACCUAUCCCCUUUCCAUUCUUUUUACGAAGCUGCAUGGGAUCGAGGGUACAUUCAAAUAGAAAGUUUAACACAUGCGAGUAGUUGGCAAUAAACGUUAACGAAGCCGCAGUUACUAUUAGCCACGAUCACGUCGAUAGCCAAGGGAUACAGUGAAUGGAUGCAGCUUUGCUUGCGUGUACGAUAAAGCACGAGAGGUGUAUCACUAGACUUUGAACAGUGUACUAUAUCAGCGCGGAAUAUAAUUCUGAAUAAAUAACGAAGUACGAGCAUUUGUACUACGCUGCAUUCACUGUACCAUCGAUACAGCUUUUGUGUUUGUUAUAUACACGGAAAUCAUUAUAUCUUGGGAAUGAACGCUCGAAAUAAGAUUCUGGAAGCUGGCGAAGUUUAUUGAUUCGUAUGUUGAACAUGUACUACGCGUACAGUGCUGUGAAUAAUUGCAGACUCGAACGUAUUUUCCGCAUUAUUUCUUCGAUAUUUCCAAAAAAUCAUUGUUCAUGUCUGAAUAUUGUUCAGUGAAGUUGUGUUUGUAGAGGGUAGAUUGAACGCUAUGGGAUACGAAGCGAUGUUACAUGGCGAAUUAUUGUCUUUCAUAGGCGAAAUAAAAGACAAAAGACAAUGUUUCAGCGAGACCGAAGCGUGCUUUCAAAAUUUCCGGAUAGAAUACGAAAGUUUACAAUAACAGGAAGCUACCUGUGGAAGAUAUCGCGCAACUUGGAAAAAAGGUAAAUUUCCGCGUGGGCGGAUAUUCGAAACGGAACUUUAAAUAAGUUAGAGGAUAGCGUGCUUGGCAGAUUAGUAGAAGUAAUCAAAGAUAAAGGAAAAUCAACUAAAUAUCGAAUGAGAAGGUAACGAAAUUAACAUUGAGUUUAUAUGUGUUCAGAGCGAGAAACAAUUUUAGGAGAAAAUUUAACUGUUUGCUGUAUCUUCUGUUUUCUUUCAUAUUGUAAUAUGAAAUUAUAUAAGCGAUUUCACCGAUUUUUGUUUUAAUAUUACAACAAACUUUAAAAUAGGGCAGUGUUUAUGAUCAGUCGCUGUACAUGGAACACAAAUGCGUUCCUCAUCCACAAGAUUGCAAAUAAAUUGUUCAUAGCAAACCCGCUAAAGAUCUACAGGAACCUAUAAGGAAUCGUCAUACAUAAAAGAUGAAUUUUUCAUAGUAAAAACACGAAGGAUACAAGCAAAAUGUACUUCACGUGUCUAAGAAUUAUCUACUAGAUAAAAAAAUGAAUAAUCCAAAUUCUUCAGCGAAAUUGAAAAUUUAUUAAAAAGGAAAUACAGCCAGUU